rnacentral:rRNA from 1 species
ACCUGCCCUUGACUCUGGGAUAAGCCUGGGAAACUGGGUCUAAUACCGGAUACGACCAUCUGGCGCAUGUCAUGGUGGUGGAAAGCUUUUGUGGUUUUGGAUGGACUCGCGGCCUAUCAGCUUGUUGGUGGGGUAAUGGCCUACCAAGGCGACGACGGGUAGCCGGCCUGAGAGGGUGACCGGCCACACUGGGACUGAGACACGGCCCAGACUCCUACGGGAGGCAGCAGUGGGGAAUAUUGCACAAUGGGCGCAAGCCUGAUGCAGCGACGCCGCGUGAGGGAUGACGGCCUUCGGGUUGUAAACCUCUUUCAGUAGGGAAGAAGCGUAAGUGACGGUACCUGCAGAAGAAGCGCCGGCUAACUACGUGCCAGCAGCCGCGGUAAUACGUAGGGCGCAAGCGUUAUCCGGAAUUAUUGGGCGUAAAGAGCUCGUAGGCGGUUUGUCGCGUCUGCUGUGAAAGACCGGGGCUCAACUCCGGUUCUGCAGUGGGUACGGGCAGACUAGAGUGCAGUAGGGGAGACUGGAAUUCCUGGUGUAGCGGUGAAAUGCGCAGAUAUCAGGAGGAACACCGAUGGCGAAGGCAGGUCUCUGGGCUGUAACUGACGCUGAGGAGCGAAAGCAUGGGGAGCGAACAGGAUUAGAUACCCUGGUAGUCCAUGCCGUAAACGUUGGGCACUAGGUGUGGGGGACAUUCCACGUUUUCCGCGCCGUAGCUAACGCAUUAAGUGCCCCGCCUGGGGAGUACGGCCGCAAGGCUAAAACUCAAAGGAAUUGACGGGGGCCCGCACAAGCGGCGGAGCAUGCGGAUUAAUUCGAUGCAACGCGAAGAACCUUACCAAGGCUUGACAUGAACCGGAAAGACCUGGAAACAGGUGCCCCGCUUGCGGUCGGUUUACAGGUGGUGCAUGGUUGUCGUCAGCUCGUGUCGUGAGAUGUUGGGUUAAGUCCCGCAACGAGCGCAACCCUCGUUCUAUGUUGCCAGCGCGUGAUGGCGGGGACUCAUAGGAGACUGCCGGGGUCAACUCGGAGGAAGGUGGGGACGACGUCAAAUCAUCAUGCCCCUUAUGUCUUGGGCUUCACGCAUGCUACAAUGGCCGGUACAAAGGGUUGCGAUACUGUGAGGUGGACCUAAUCCCAAAAAGCCGGUCUCAGUUCGGACUGGGGUCUGCAACUCGACCCCAUGAAGUCGGAGUCGCUAGUAAUCGCAGAUCAGCACCGCUGCGGUGAAUACGUUCCCGGGCCUUGUACACACCGCCCGUCAAGUCACGAAAGUUGGUAACACCCGAAGCCGGUGGCCCUAACUCCAUUG